UUAUAUUUACAUUUUUGGCGUUUUCUUACAAAUAAAAAAAAAAAAAUGGAGUGAAGAAAACAAUGCUGUGGAGUUGAGCUGCCACAGACUUUCUCAUGGGGAAGGAAGAGAGAGGGCUGGCUCCUUUGGCUGCAUUGCCCAUGCCUUCCUCCUGCAACUUUCAGUCCUGCAGCCCAGAGGGGGAAGAGAUGUCCCCGAUCCCUGUUUCUGAUGGGGGGGGGCAUCAGCCUUAGGCGCUGUGCUUUCCACUUGCACCGUAAAUGCCACGAGGGGCCAGACCGCGUGGAUCCAAUGUGCCAAAGUGUGCAAGGCACUUCACAUGAGACUUGAUCCCUGCCUGAGACAGUUUACAAUCUGAAUUUCAGACAUGACACAAGAGAAACCAGCACAUCAAUGGCACAUCAACGACAGACUACUUGCCUCAGCAGUAUGGAUGCUUUACCUGGACUUGUAGGGGAAGACACACCUGGGACCCUGAAAGGGGGCUUUUCCCCUGCUUCCCCAGCUAUAUGGCUGUGCCCUUGUGAGCUCCAGGAAGAUGCAGCAUGGCCUACACCAUGCUUCCUGACUGUGUCACAGCUGAUUGAUUCAUACAUGUCCAGGGGAGGGCUUAUAAACUUUGUCCCUUCAUGGGGCUUCCAGUGGCACCAUGGGGUUUGCUGCUGUCAGCUUUUCUUCCACUGGGUUCAACAUAGGACCAGAUUUCUGGGCCUGCUGGGAGCAUUAACCAAUCGCUUUAAUGGGAGUAAAAAGGAGGGAAUUUCCCCUCAUUGCUGAAUUGGCCAUGGUGGCAAGUGUUUUUUCACCUUGCUCUCAGUGUCAUGGGGUCCCCAGGACUCCAGGAGGUUGUGUUAAUAUUCUUCUGUUGGUUGCAAACAUGCAUGUGGCCAAUGUGGAUAAAGGCGUCCAUCAAUUCUGGCUAAACCUGAGCAUAGGACCAAGAAUAGGAGAGGGUUUCCCCUGCAGAAGAUGCCGUCAGGCUGAUCUCCAGUGAUGGGUACAGCAAAGAACAAUCUUUCUCGCCCCUAUGUAACUUGUAUCCUCACAUAAGAGAAGAGGAGCAAGGGAUUCAGCACUGGUGUUGGAACAUUUUUUUUAAUUUGGGGGUAUGAGGGCGAUUCAAGGCGGUGGCCCCCUCACAGAUAGUCCUGCAAACUAAGUGAGUGUGGAUCUACGCUGGCCUUCUUCCUGCCUAGUAUUUUAUUAGAGUUGAAUCAAUAAAGUUGUGGCCUAUUUAAAACACAUUACUAUAUUGUUUUGCUUUUCUUCCUGCUGUGUCUGAGUCAAUCACCCUUUGCCACCAGACACAAGAGGCCCCAAGAUGCAACUGUUGGUUUUGUUCAGCACAAAGGGGGCAAAUAUAAAAUGACUUUUUUUCACUCAUUAAACUUUCUGGAUUCAUCAGCAUUUGCAUGAAUGCUCAGAUUUGACCCCAGGGGUAUCAGCAAGCCAAAUUUGAAUUACUUAUAUGCAAAUAUAUUUCUGAAUCAGACAUUUCAUUAUUUGACCCAUUCUAUCCAAAGUAGCUGUCUCUUCUUAGCAAUAAAAUGACUUUUGCAGAAGGCCUGACCCAUCUUAGCCUUUAAUUCUUGAAUAACGAGCAUUUUCUGAAAGACUGUCUAAAGGAAUGGUGCAUAAAAGACUGGUGCUAGUGUGCCCCAGGCUUAACAUGCUGUACCAACUGGCAGCUAAAAUGGCAUCAAAUCUGCUAAAGUUUUAGGUUCAUAAACAUGCCUCAAAGUAGCCCCCUUUAACUCCCAUGUUUGUCAUUUGUAUAUGGUUGUGAUAUUUCAUUCAAAGCAUGCCUUGUAAGAUGACAUAUGAUCUACUGAACUCAUUGUUCUGUCAAUAUAUGUGUAUCAUCAUUGUAUAUGGAAUUAUGAUAUUCUGCUAUAUGGUUAUUAUUGAAAUAUGUUGUGUGUCCGGGAGACACCCAUAGCUAGCUCUCCAGUGGCAACAAAGGAGGUGACCCUCACCCAAACAGGCGUUUAGCGGUCAUCACAAGCCAUUGACCAGCAGGGAAUUGUAAACAAGAGAUUUACAAUUCUGUAAUUGCAUUGUGUGGUGUGCAGGCACCACACAAUGAAGAUUUUUUUCAAUGCUGUGACUCAGCAAGGCCCACCAGGACAUAUCUAGGCCAAUAUCUUUCCUGGGAAUUGAUUUGAAUUAAUUGAAAAUAUAAAAUAAGGAACAGUGGUAUCAUGAGAUGACCUCUCCUCCUCCUCCACCUACUCUGAAGGCAACAAAGACUUUGAACUGGGGAGAUUGGUCUCAGGCUGAGAAGGGAAUGCAGCCUGUGUAUUAAAAACUGUAACGUGCUGCAACAUUCAGUGGGGUGAGAAAAGCUGUUUAAAUUCUAAACUUUAUCAGACUAAGUAAGAUUUGACUCAGACUGUGAUUUUACUUUUAUUUCUUUUGUAACCAUCUUUAUCUCAUAUACCCACCACUUACAAUCACUUACAA